rnacentral:rRNA from 1 species
UAAGGAUUGACGGACUGAAGGCUCUUUCUCGAUUCCGUGGAAAGUGGUGCAUGGCCGUUUUUGGUUGGUGGAUCGAUCCGUCUGGUUAAUUCCGUUAACGAACGAGACCUCGGCACUCCGAAUAGCGCGGCGGACGUCGCGGCCUCCGGGCCGUCUUCCGCACGAGCUUCUUAGAGGGACCGUCCCCCGCCGGGGAAGGAGGUGCGAGGCAACGACAGGUCUGUGAUGCCCUUAGAUGUUCUGGGCCGCACGCGCAUUACACUGACGCGUCCAACGGGUGACUCCCGACCCGAAGGGGCCGGGGAAUCCGCAAGGCGCGUCGUGAUGGGGAUUGAACGUUGCAAUUGUUGUUCACGAACGAGGAAUUCCUAGUAGGCGCGGGUCAUCAACCCGCGCCGAUUACGUCCCUGCCCUUUGUACACACCG